rnacentral:rRNA from 1 species
UACGUAGGGUCCGAGCGUUGUCCGGAAUUACUGGGCGUAAAGAGCUCGUAGGUGGUUUGUCGCGUUGUUCGUGAAAACUCACAGCUUAACUGUGGGCGUGCGGGCGAUACGGGCAGACUGGAGUACUGCAGGGGGAGACUGGAAUUCCUGGUGUAGCGGUGGAAUGCGCAGAUAUCAGGAGGAACACCGGUGGCGAAGGCGGGUCUCUGGGCCUUACCUGACGCUGAGGAGCGAAAGCAUGGGGAGCAAACAGG